UGAGCCAGCUCUUGGAGGUCUCUGGUGAAUAUAAGAUCCCUCUCCCUAAAGGAAAGUUUCAAGCCAUCUGCAGUGCCCUGCACAACCAGAUCUGUUCUCAAGCUAAGCCGCUCAGUACGGAAAAUCACGCAGAGCUGGUCCAUUGUAUAGUUCUGCUAGCCCGUUCUUCUCCAGAGGAUCUGAUAGCAUUUCUGCACUCCUAGCAGAAGAUUAAGAAUGAGGCUGUUCGUGUCACGUCUUUGAAUCUGCUCAGAGCUAUUGUUGAUGCUGACUUGCCCGAGACAGGAGAUAAAAAGUGUCUGAUUGUGAAGGCAGUGAAAUCCACUCUGGAUGAUCAGAAUGCUACGGUGAGGAAGGCAGUUCUUCAUUUCACCAGGAGGCUGCUCAGCUCAGAAAGUGUGGAGAAUUGUGCAGCAUGGGAUAUGGUAGCACAUGUUUUCAUGAAGUUCAGUGUGUCCACCAGCAAACUGGCAAGGAGAGUUCUUAACACUUAGGACUCCGUCCUACCAUUCUUGCAUGCUGACUGCUCCCCUUGCCUUCAGUGGGAGUUUUGAUUCAAGGACAACUGGACUGAAUGAUUAGAGCCAGAAUCUGAUCAGUUAUAUUGGUGUAAAGUCAAAGUAACUCCACUGACUUUAGUGGCGUUACUCUGGAUUCAUACUAAUGUAACAGAGAUCAGA